CACCACCGGCGGACGGCUCAGUAACACGUCGGUAACCUACCCUCGGGAGGGGGAUAACCCCGGGAAACUGGGGCUAAUCCCCCAUAGGCCUGAGGUACUGGAAGGUCCUCAGGCCGAAAGGGGCUUUUGCCCGCCCGAGGAUGGGCCGGCGGCCGAUUAGGUAGUUGGUGGGGUAACGGCCCACCAAGCCGAAGAUCGGUACGGGCUGUGAGAGCAGGAGCCCGGAGAUGGACACUGAGACACGGGUCCAGGCCCUACGGGGCGCAGCAGGCGCGAAACCUCCGCAAUGCGGGAAACCGCGACGGGGGGACCCCGAGUGCCGUGGCACCGCCACGGCUUUUCCGGAGUGUAAAAAGCUCCGGGAAUAAGGGCUGGGCAAGGCCGGUGGCAGCCGCCGCGGUAAUACCGGCGGCCCGAGUGGUGGCCGCUAUUAUUGGGCCUAAAGCGUCCGUAGCCGGGCCCGUAAGUCCCUGGCGAAAUCCCACGGCUCAACCGUGGGGCUUGCUGGGGAUACUGCGGGCCUUGGGACCGGGAGAGGCGGGGGGUACCCCUGGGGUAGGGGUGAAAUCCUAUAAUCCCAGGGGGACCGCCAGUGGCGAA
rnacentral:rRNA from 1 species